rnacentral:piRNA from 1 species
UAGUGAAAAGCCAAUAAAUCUACAGA